AGAGUUUGAUCCUGGCUCAGAUUGAACGCUGGCGGAAUGCUUUACACAUGCAAGUCGAACGGCAGCACGGGUGCUUGCACCUGGUGGCGAGUGGCGAACGGGUGAGUAAUGCGUCGGAACGUACCGAGUAAUGGGGGAUAACGCAGCGAAAGUUGUGCUAAUACCGCAUACGCCCUGAGGGGGAAAGUGGGGGAUCGCAAGACCUCACGUUAUUCGAGCGGCCGACGCCUGAUUAGCUAGUUGGUGAGGUAAUGGCUCACCAAGGCGACGAUCAGUAGCGGGUCUGAGAGGAUGAUCCGCCACACUGGGACUGAGACACGGCCCAGACUCCUACGGGAGGCAGCAGUGGGGAAUUUUGGACAAUGGGGGCAACCCUGAUCCAGCCAUUCCGCGUGAGUGAAGAAGGCCUUCGGGUUGUAAAGCUCUUUCAGUUGGAACGAAACGGUACGCUCUAACAUAGCGUGCUAAUGACGGUACCGACAGAAGAAGCACCGGCUAACUACGUGCCAGCAGCCGCGGUAAUACGUAGGGUGCGAGCGUUAAUCGGAAUUACUGGGCGUAAAGCGUGCGCAGGCGGAUUGUUAAGCAAGACGUGAAAUCCCCGGGCUUAACCUGGGAAUGGCGUUUUGAACUGGCAGUCUAGAGUGUGUCAGAGGGGGGUGGAAUUCCACGUGUAGCAGUGAAAUGCGUAGAGAUGUGGAGGAACACCGAUGGCGAAGGCAGCCCCCUGGGAUAACACUGACGCUCAUGUACGAAAGCGUGGGUAGCAAACAGGAUUAGAUACCCUGGUAGUCCACGCUGUAAACGAUGGAUACUAGGUGUUGGUGGCCCUUUACCCCACCAGUGCCGAAGCUAACGCGAUAAGUAUCCCACCUGGGGACUACGGUCGCAAGACUAAAACUCAAAGGAAUUGACGG
rnacentral:rRNA from 1 species